ACCUUCAAACUUUUAUCUUGAGUAAAACCAAAGUAGUCUUCUGCAAGAUUAAGCAUUGUAAGAUCCAACUCCACUGCCUGUGGAUACAUAAAUCCACCAAAAUAUUUACAUCGUGCAAAAUCAAGCUUGAAGAAUGAUUUUAUACCCUACCACUCUUCUAUCACUCUAGAAAAGUUUAUUUUCUGUUUUACUCUUUUUCCCCAUUUUUUGUUUGUGGGAAUGUUGGUUUGGCAACUUUACCUCAAUUCCCACAAAGGGCAUACACUCAUGAAGAAACAUAGGAAGUAAACCAGCUCCAAGACCAAUAACAACUGCUUUAACUG
rnacentral:lncRNA from 1 species